AUUGAACGCUGGCGGAAUGCUUUACACAUGCAAGUCGAGCGGCAGCACGGGGGCAACCCUGGUGGCGAGCGGCGAACGGGUGAGUAACACAUCGGAACAUGCCCAGUCGUGGGGGAUAACACUUCGAAAGAAGUGCUAAUACCGCAUACGUCCUGAGGGAGAAAGCGGGGGAUCGCAAGACCUCGCGCGAUUGGAGUGGCCGAUGUCAGAUUAGCUAGUUGGUGGGGUAAAGGCCUACCAAGGCGACGAUCUGUAGCUGGUCUGAGAGGACGACCAGCCACACUGGGACUGAGACACGGCCCAGACUCCUACGGGAGGCAGCAGUGGGGAAUUUUGGACAAUGGGGGCAACCCUGAUCCAGCCAUUCCGCGUGAGUGAAGAAGGCCUUCGGGUUGUAAAGCUCUUUCAGCAGGAACGAAACGGCGAGUUCUAACAUAGCUCGUUAAUGACGGUACCUGAAGAAGAAGCACCGGCUAACUACGUGCCAGCAGCCGCGGUAAUACGUAGGGUGCGAGCGUUAAUCGGAAUUACUGGGCGUAAAGCGUGCGCAGGCGGU
rnacentral:rRNA from 1 species